AGGGAUGUGGCUCAUCGGAAGAAUCUCUGUUUUGCAUGCAGAGGGUCCCGGGUUCAAUCCUCAGCACCUCCA
rnacentral:tRNA from 1 species